rnacentral:rRNA from 1 species
AAAGCGGGGGCAACCUCGCAAGUAAAGUGGCGUACGGGUGAGUAACACGUGGGUAAUCUACCUCAUAGGUGGGGAAUAACGCUGGGAAACCGGCGCUAAUACCGCAUAAGCUCGAGAGAGGAAAGCAGCAAUGCGCUGUGAGAGGAGCCCGCGGCCGAUUAGCUAGUUGGGAGGGUAAAAGCCUACCAAGGCAAAGAUCGGUAGCCGGCCUGAGAGGGCACACGGCCACACUGGCACUGAAACACGGGCCAGACUCCUACGGGAGGCAGCAGUGGGGAAUCUUGCACAAUGGGGGAAACCCUGAUGCAGCGACGCCGCGUGAGCGAUGAAGCCCUUCGGGGUGUAAAGCUCUUUCGGCAGGGACGAUAAUGACGGUACCUGCAGAAGCAGCUGCGGCUAACUACGUGCCAGCAGCCGCGGUAAUACGUAGGCAGCGAGCGUUGUUCGGAGUUACUGGGCGUAAAGGGUGUGUAGGCGGUUCUCUAAGUUUGGUGUGAAAUCUCCCGGCUCAACCGGGAGGGUGCGCCGAAAACUGGGGGACUCGAGUGCGGGAUGGGAGAGUAGAAUUCCUGGUGUAGCGGUGAAAUGCGUAGAUAUCAGGAGGAAUACCGGUGGUGUAGACGGCUCUCUGGACCGCCACUGACGCUGAGACACGAAAGCGUGGGUAGCAAACAGGAUUAGAUACCCUGGUAGUCCACGCCCUAAACGAUGCAUAUUUGGUGUAGGUCAUUCAGUUGAUCUGUGCCGGAGCUAACGCGUUAAAUAUGCCGCCUGGGGAGUACAGUCGCAAGGCUGAAACUC